GUGUUUGAAGAGGAGGGGCUCACUCUAAAUCUUGAAGAUGUUCAGCCUCGAAAAAGUAGAAGUCAUUGUGACCAAAGAUGAUGCCACCAAGCCCUUAAAAAGGUCUCAAAUGGAAGAACACGUUCAAGAAAGGUCGAUACUAUGUGUCUUAACGACUGAUCAUGGACUGAACCCUGCAUUGAAGUCAUUAAAGCCCGUUAUCAAUGCAGAUUCCUGGAGACGUCUCAGACUAAGAGAUUUAGCAAGUCUGAAACUGGAGCAAGGGACUCUGCAUUUAAACAACGUUUGCCCAUUAAAGUUUGAGCACCACUGAAAAACUCUCUCUUCUUCUCCUCUGUUCUUCCCAGCUACACAUCCCUAAUCUGUGGCCUGCAUUCAUCUUGCCACCGUUCCCCUCUGCCCCUCCACUCCUGAGGCCAUCAUCAUGAAGCCAGUGGGAAUGGCAAUGGAAGGACCCAGACAGGAAUAAGAUCACCUGGGCCUUCACCUUCCUUCGCUGGCCGAGAGCACUGCUCUUCUUCCACUUUUAUUUUAAUCUAGGACAUCCCCUAACUGGGCUCCUAAAGGCCCUGCUUCAUUUAAUUUGGCCUCCUGGCCCAAGCUGAAUCCUCGGCAAGCCUGGAAACUUAAUACCCUGAAUUCAAAUAAAGAUGCCUGGAAGAAACUGAGUGAAUCAGGUAGCUAAGAUUUGGCCUAAGUUGAUCUAAUUUUGGCCAAAGCCACCCUCCACUAAUAAAUAGGUCUCUGCUAAUAGACUUGCAAAGAUGGAGCUCUUAAUCAAUGCUAAAUAAGAGUUAUAAAUCAUAAAGACAUUUGCUGUCUUCGUACCUCCCAGGGUUGGGAGUGAAUGGGAGAGGACUCUGACCAUGAAGCUCUCUACUCUAAACUCAGAGAAAAUUCUCCGAGCCAUUCUUCUGCUCACAGAAUUUCCGCGGCACCAGUCUCCCUGCAGCUUUGACAAGUGAGCUAUUUUAGUACGAGAACAAGUAGAGUUAUUGUUAUCUCUGCUCUGAAUCAAGGAUAAAAAGAAAAGGUGAGCUGGAGAAGGAGGGUGUGAAAGAGAGGAACUGGGGGUGAGGUGAGGAAAAGCAGAAAGGACUUCAGAUACCAAAAGAAAAGGAGCCAGGUGCUCUUCCCAAGAAGGAAGUCACCCGCCGGCGGGUUUGUGGAUUGAAAUCAGCAUGUGACUCCACAGCAACCAUAGUAACAGUCCCUCCCUCUGGUCUCACAGGGCUCUGGAGGGGCAAAGACAGCAGGAUACAUGCCCAGGUGCUUCGUCAAUGGUGCAGUGUUGUCUGCACAGGGUGGCAGCUCCCUAUCUGCGACCCGGGGGCGACUGUGCCUUUCCCACAGCCCCACCAAAGACUCAGGACGGCCCAGGCCAGAAGGAAGUUUAGACUGCAGACCCUCCAUCAGCAGGUCCCUUUCCCCACCCUUCCUAUUGGGUCACCUAGGCCAUUAACAAGGGUGCUAUUUUAGCAAGAAACUGAAAAUGAAAAGAGAAUCUGCCCUCCAAACAUGCUGAACACCUGUUUUAACACACAGCCCCACGGAGGGUCAGCAGUCCACUCAUGCUUUAAAGCGUUUGUGCCUAUUUAUUUUGAGACUGGCAGGGCCUGAGCCACAGCUUCCUGUAUUCUGCUUUGUCAGCACGAAAGAUUUGCUGCCAUAGGCAUGCUGAGCUCCCGCUGGGGCCUCCCUUCUCCUGGAGCCUGAUUGAGAUGAAAGUUCAUCCUAGCACUUAAAUGAAGAGACUUCUUCCAGCUCCCACUUCUGCCUCACCCCUCCGGCUCCCACUGACAAGCAGGCCUGGCUGCAAGUUGUGCUGGUCACCAGGACCUGGCCACCAGAGGGCGACAGAGAGCAACGAGGGCUGAACCAUUUACCAGAAGGAACCAAAUCCCCUGACACAUCUGCUCCGUCGUCCAGCCCAGAAACUGCCAGACUUGCUAGCAUUUGCCAGUCCAUCGAAACAUCUCACCUUCAUCCAAACUUUAUCAAGUUUGGAUGGGAAACAAAACAAUUAAUUUAAAAAAGCAGCACACAAGAAACUAAAUAUUAUUUAUGUCUCUAAUUAUCUUGUUCUGGUGGGUAUUUUAGUUACUCUCUGUCUGGUCAGGACAUUAAUUAUCUUCAUAACUACAGCAAAAGUUAAAUAAUAAGCACCCAAGGCUACAGCACUACUGUAAUGUGCAAGCUUAAAUGAACUUAUAAAUUUUAUUAAUGGAUGCUUUAUACAACUCCAUAUAUUAUAAAUCAAACAAGAAACCUAUUUCUAUCUUUUAAGGGUACGGUGAAAAAGCUUUAACAUUAUUGAGGAUAAUUUUUAUUAAGUUUAAAACUCCCUUUUUCCAGUAAUGAGACUGUUAUGAGGAUAAUUUAAUCUAGUUUGUCAUGAGGCACCCCGGCUUGUUAAAUAAGUUAAUAAAUGACUGUGCAUUAAUCAAAGUGACAAAGCUAUGAAGAGCCGGGGAUGGAAGACAAUUCUGGUGAUAGUAUUAAUUAGUAUUUAAUUAGAAACUUAGGGCCCAUAAAUAAAAAAAAAUCAUGGUAGAGACGUUUAUGCAAAUUGCUUGGAGCCUGCAGUGGAGUUAGCUUUGCUUUAAAGAAACAUGAUUUUUUUUUCUAACAUACUGUACACGGCAGCACUGUGGCCACAUCACGUGGCUUAAACGAGCUCUUCUUUUGUUUCCAAUUUGUUCCAAUUACAGGCCUGUAAAUUCAAAUCAUUCUUUUGACUGUCUUGAUUGAAAUGUAGAGUUCCCACAAUUUCUACUGGGAGUUCUGGGGGUUUUUUUC
rnacentral:lncRNA from 1 species